AGACUCUGUGUAUGUGUGCGUGUGUGUGUGUGUGUGUGUGUGUGUGUGUGUGUGUGUGUGUGUUUAGCAUUUCUGGUGCCUUCCAUUCUUUCCUGUAGACUCAAGUGACAUCUAGUGUCAUACCUUGUAAGCUUGGAGAACCCCCCAGAGGAGUGUAGUGUGAAAUGAUUCCGUGGAAAGCAAGCUUGCCGCACCUAAGCUCAGUUCUCGGGGCCCACCUGCGGAGAGAAUAUUUAUUGAACUUUGAUUUUCCUUUGGUCUUGGAAGGGUGACCCCCUUUUGGAGAAUUUCAGGUUGGUGCCUUCCUUUGGUCUGUGUAAGACGUAGCCUCCGUCUGUCUGUCCCCUCUUUCUGAGGAGACCCCAGCUCUCGGGUCUUGGGUCCUUUCCUUACUUAGAGUGCUGUGUGCCUUUGGAAUUUCGGCACUCCACCUUAAUGUGGCCAGGUAGCUUUUCUUUCAUUUGUUUGCUUUGCUUUCUACCAUCUUGUCUAUCAUCUCUCAUCAUCCUUCUCACCGCCCUGGGCGUACGUGUUUGUUGCCUUUUUAUUUGUUUUAAACACAAUCAGGAAGGUUUUGGCCCUUGGUUUUAAAAUAAAAUAAAAUUUCUGUUUUCUUCUCUCCUAAAAUGUCACUGAAUGUAUAGUAGAUCAUCUAGGAUUGCCUUACUUUUUUUUUUUUUUUUUUUUUUUUUUUUGGUUUUUCGAGACAGGGUUUCUCGGUGUAGCCCUGGCUGUCCUGGAACUCACUUUGUAGACCAGGCUGGCCUUGAACUCAGAAAUCCGCCUGCCUCUGCCUCCCGAGUGCUGGGAUUAAAGGCGUGCAUCACCACGCCUGGCUGCCUUACAUGUUUUUAAGGCUUAUAUAUUCACUGUGCUUCAAAUUCAAUAAUUCAUCUAAGUAACUUUCAGCUUUCAAUCUGCUGUUAAGCCUAUUCCAGGACAUUUUGAGUUUACAUAUAUAUAUUUUUAUAUUUAUAUAUAUAAUAUAUAUAUUAUAUAUAUUCCAUUUCCUAGAAAUAGAACCCAGGGCCUCAUCCAUACUUCACAAGGACUUCACUGCUGAUCUACACCCCAGACCAGGCUGGAGUUGAAGUGAUCCUCCUGCCUCUGUUUCCUAAGUGCUGCUAUUAAAGGCAUAUACCACCACACCCAGCUUUAUUACUGUUUUUGAAAAGCCAUUUAUAUUGUGAUCUCUCUUUUUUUUUUUUUUUUUUAAUUUUCUCACCCCUGCUCCUCUCAUUUGGUUUAUCAGUUAUAUAUUAUUUCUGUAUAGGAUCUUCCUCCCCACUCCACCCCCGUGCCUUUAUCUCUUUCUGUUAUGUGUGCGUAGGACAGAGGUUGAUAUUGUCUAUAGUCACUUUUCAUUUGAUUUACUGAGGCAGGACCUCUUCUUGAAUCUGCAGCUGGCCCCAUGACUGCCCUGAAGUUCACCUGCAUCUGCUUCCUUUGUACUUGAUUGAAGGAAGCUCUGAUUGUAGCUGAAGCCUGAACCUGUCCUUGCACCAUCCUGCAACGGGCCCGAGAGCAGUACUCUUUCCCCCUGCACAGGCUGAGACCUGUCCCUGCAACAGCUUUCUUUCUACAGCCUCUCCUCAAACCAUAACCUUUCACCUUUGUCUACCCACAAAUCUUUCCAUGACAACUUAAAAACAACAUUUUUAAAUUUAACUUAUGUGUUAAGAGUGUUUUGCCUGCGUGUGUGUGUGUGUGUGUGUGUGUGUGUGUGUGUGUUCCAGACAGUGAACACCGGAUGGUCCUCUAGAGCUGGAACUCACUCCAGCUUCUUCUAUGACAUCUACAUAGCGUUCCACCAUUGCUAGGCCUGUGAUGAUGAUGAAGAUGACGACAUUAUGAAUGAGUCCAUCUUCAAAUUACCUUCUCUUGACAGGACAGUCCCUACCCAUUUUUGCUCAGUUAUUUUGAAGAGGGAGAUUGAGAAGAGUCUUGCAUAGCUUGAGCUGGUCUCCAACUCACUAUCCUGCUGCUGAGGCUAGGACUACAGACCGCCACAUCUGACUCAAUUAGCUUUCUGUUCAUUCCCAGUUCAUAAUCGUUAACCGAUUAAAGGUGUGUGCCACCACUGUCCAGCUUGUUAUAAAUCUCAUACUUGACACUGGACUCAUAAAACGGGAUUCAUAUGGUUCUUGCUACAUGAAGCCAAGCCCCUAUUAGCCCUGAAGACACUGCAGGAAGGUAAGCAUUGUUUAACCACCCCCACCCCAAAUUGAUAUGUCUCUCUGGAAGGUGGCCAGAGAGCAAAAGAUAAUGUGUAAAGGUCAGAGGUUUAGAUCUCACUAAGCUCAUUAACAGGAGAAUAUGCCGAGUCUUGACCUCAAAAUCAUGACCUGUAAUUAAAAACAGAUUGCCCUGUGGGCUGGGUUUUAUGAUUCAGAGGUUGAAAAGAGAAAAUGUCCAACAACUGCUUUGCAGACGAAGGAAAAGUGGUAGCUUAGGGCCCACGGUUGCAGUAGCACAGCAGGCAAACAAGGGAAGCGUGGUAAACCGUUGAGUAAGAAUAUCAAGUUUUGGGGCUGGAGAGAUGGCUCAGUGGGUAAGAGCACUGACUAUUCUU